UCCUCCUGCCUCUGCCUCCCAAGUGCUGGGAUUAAAGGUGUGCGCCACCACACCUGGCUAAGAAGCACCACCGACAGACUGAGGUUUUGAUAAAGCAGACAGAGUGGAAUGCUAGUGCUUCGGGGACCCAGCUGCUGAGCUAACUUUCAUCGUCUACAUCCUGAAAUGUCUCAGAAUAGAAGGUCAGGGUGCCGACACCACGGUUUGUGACUGGACAGCACAGCUGGGAAGGAUGGAAGGUUGCAGAUGCUGCAAACAAAUCUGUCACCAAGACAGAAUCUGAGUAGAACAAGUGGUAAGAAGAGAGCUGCUCAGACCAGAGGGGAAAGAGUGUGCCAUCUUGCUCUGCAUCCCAAGAGUCAAGAGUCUGCCAUCCUGCCCUGCCUUCCUGGGAGUCUUUCAUCCCAUCCUCUUUUCCAGAAGGUACACUAGCUGGGCCUUCUGCCCAAGUCUUCUGUGCCUGUUUCUGGAGCAUCAUCUGGCUCAGAGCUAUCCCAAGAUGAACCAGGGAAGAACAUAAACUCAGGCCUCCUAUCUCCAGCAGACCAGCCUGUGUGUGAGUCUCAGUCUAAGCUGCCUAUGAGCCAGGCUGGGGCAAAUCCCAGUGGACACGGGUGCCUCCUCCACACUUCACCAGAACUCCCCUCCUGUCUCUGCAUACGGACACCUUGCUAGAGCAUAUAGCACCACUGUCCAGAGCCCUGACCACUGCAAGGCAUGAGAGGAUUCCAUUUUACAUGACCAGAUCAUGUCAAGCAUUCCAUCUUACACACCUGGAUCACAUCACCAGACUGCCUGUUAAUGACAUCACGGUAACAUUACCAUGUGACUCGUCACAGUGUUGUGUCUCUGCCUUAUACCAUUUCAUUGCACCAUCAUAUAGUACCAUCACCAUGAUGUCAUCUCAUCUUCCCAACAGUACAAUCAGGUCUGUCCUAUAGUUAACACUCCCAUUUUACAGAUGGACAAAGCAGCACAGGGAGGAGUGGAGUGACCAGCCCAAGGCCACCCAGCUGUAAGGGGUGAAGUUGGCCAGCUCGCUCUGGGAGUAGGGCUAUAAAAAGCAUUGCUCCCUGAAUCUGGGGCAGCGCAGGUGUCGCCCCAGGGCUGUUUCUGCAAACACCAUUCUCUCCAGGAAACUCUGGGGACACCUUGGGCAACCAGAAAGCAAGUCAGAGAUCUUCCUUACAUAAAUGAAUCUGUAAGAGGGAAUCUGCGAGACCAGGAAAGGCAAGCCAAGGUGCCAAGUGGGGCAGAGAGCACAGGGCUCUCAGGAAGGACCAGUAUGUGUUGUCCAGAUGUCCCCACCUUCAAGAAGUCCUCCCUCGAUUCCCUGCAUCAAACCAAUGAGUGUCCUGGGCAAUGACUCAGUUUACCCAUCACCUGCUGGACCCAGAGACAGUAUGACUGUGUUGGGCAUCCUUGGCAGUUGUUCCCCACGCCCACUGUGUGAAGCAGGAAUGACUGAGGCUUAGAUCAACUCACAGAACUCCCAGCAUCCCUAGGCUGGUUCCCAAGCCAUCAGCCUCAGCCCCUAUUACAUCUCAGCAGCCAGGAGGGCUCAGCAGACUCUGGGAUGCAGUGGCCUCCUGAACUAUGAGAUCCCUCUUCUCUGGAAGUCUCCCAGCCAGAAUGAGGUCUGCACCCCACUGCAGUGACGUUUCUGUCCCCACUCCCCUGUCUACAGUCCUAGCCAGUGGGUCCCCCAAGCAGGAGCACCCCAGCCUGCACCCAUUCAUCAAGAGGCUGAGGGUGGAAGGAAAGGGCUCCACCCAGGCCCUUCUCCUCCUUUACCGCUCCUGAUUAGCCUCCAAGUGGCCCUGAAACCUGGCCAAGCCUGAUCUUGAGAUACAGGGAGCUCCCUGGAGGCUUUGGGUUCUGUCUGUCUGCUCCACAUUAAUCAGCAGCUUCCACAGCGCCCUAGAACUUGGGUCUGAUUGCUGCGGAAGGUACCAUGUGCCAUCCUGCCCCAGCUGAGCAGAAGGCCACAGCUCCAGGAUUUUGUGCUCCCUGUGUUAGCUCCCUGAGGCCUUGACUCCUCAAGGGGGCUGUGCACGGAGGCUUGGAAAGAGGUGGAGACCCAGCUGCUGAGCCCAGCCACAGCUCACCUGGAUGGGCCCAGAAGAUUCAGGUCCCAGUUUUGCAUGACCAUAGAUGCUUCCUGGCUUCCUGCCUGGCCUAUGGGAAAUCACAGCACCUGUCCAGGGUGGAAGUGGGUGGGUACACUGGGGGAGCAGUGCCAGCUCCCAGUGGGUGGCCAAGGUCCAAGGCCCCUCCUGUGGUAAUGGAAAGAGGCAAAGAGAAAUGCCUGGAUCCCAGGGCACGCCCACCCACCCCAGCACCCUGGACUCCAGGCCCAUGCCCACCCCAGCAUCAAUGACUACUUCUGGGGCCAGUACAGUGUCCAGGCUCAGCCCUGCCCUGCCGCCCUCAAAGCACAGU